UUGAGAUUAAGUUAUUAAGGGCGCACGGUGAAUGCCUUGGCACUAGAAGCCGAUGAAGGACGUUACUAACGACGAUAUGCUUUGGGGAGCUGUAAGUAAGCU
rnacentral:rRNA from 1 species